rnacentral:ncRNA from 1 species
AUCUUCAGGGCAGGGUGAAAUUCCCUACCGGCGGUAAAGCCCGCGAGCCUUAUGGCAUGACUCGGUUAGAUUCCGAGGCCGACAGUAAAGUCUGGAUGGAAGAAGAUA